GCUGUCCAGAUCCCUGUGGAAACCUUCUGAUUUGUGUCUCCUUCCUGGCUUACAUCCCCUUCUUACUGUUUGGGAACAGAGUUGUAACCAGACUCCUCUAAGAUAUCUAAAGCCUUGGAAGGACGAGGCCAUGUGAGAUCAAGGUCAACAUGCAGCCCUAAACAAGUGCCAAGCUGAUAUCCACCCUUCACUUUGCUUCAUCUAACAGUGUAAGAACUUGAGCAUCAGUUGCCCUUUAUGCUGCUGCGGGAGAAUAAAGUACGAGUUACUUGGAAGACAAAGGGGACUACAGCACAGGAGAUCCCAAAGGUCUUAGGUGGCCGUCUGUGAGUUUCACUCCUCAUCUAGCCCUUUCUGUGAUGAAGAAUAAUAAGAGAGUAGACAAAGAGAGAUGGAUUAGU